UUCCAGUAGUUUUCUUUGCAGACUUCUGUUAGUUUUGCAUAGUUGCACUACAAGAAGAGAGUGGUUGUGCAAAUCUAUGCAAAGCUGAUGGUGGCCUGUUAUAAUCUACAUCAAGGAC
rnacentral:pre_miRNA from 12 species